CCCUUAGAUGUUCUGGGCCGCACGCGCGUUACACUGAACAGUUCAACAAGUCUUAACCUUGGCCGAUAGGUCUGGGUAAUCUUUGAACGCUGUUCGUGAUUGGGAUAGACCUUUGCAAUUAUGGGUCUUCAACGAGGAAUUCCUAGUAAACGCAAGUCAUCAGCUUGCAUUGAUUACGUCCCUGCCCUUUGUACACACCGCCCGUCGCACCUACCGAUUGAAUGGUCCGGUGAAAUCUCGGGACGGCGGCUUGGUCGCUUGCGUCCGACUGCUGAAACUUGAUUAAACCAUAUCAUUUAGAGGAAGGUGAAGUCGUAACA
rnacentral:rRNA from 1 species